CAUGCAAGUCGAACGGAUCCUUCGGGGUUAGUGGCGGACGGGUGAGUAACACGUGGGAACGUGCCUUUUGGUUCGGAAUAGCUCCUGGAAACGGGUGGUAAUGCCGAAUGUGCCCUUCGGGGGAAAGAUUUAUCGCCAUUAGAGCGGCCCGCGUCUGAUUAGCUAGUUGGUGAGGUAAAGGCUCACCAAGGCGACGAUCAGUAGCUGGUCUGAGAGGAUGACCAGCCACAUUGGGACUGAGACACGGCCCAAACUCCUACGGGAGGCAGCAGUGGGGAAUCUUGCGCAAUGGGCGAAAGCCUGACGCAGCCAUGCCGCGUGAAUGAUGAAGGUCUUAGGAUUGUAAAAUUCUUUCACCGGGGACGAUAAUGACGGUACCCGGAGAAGAAGCCCCGGCUAACUUCGUGCCAGCAGCCGCGGUAAUACGAAGGGGGCUAGCGUUGCUCGGAAUUACUGGGCGUAAAGGGAGCGUAGGCGGACAUUUAAGUCAGGGGUGAAAUCCCAGAGCUCAACUCUGGAACUGCCUUUGAUACUGGGUGUCUUGAGUGUGAUAGAGGUAUGUGGAACUCCGAGUGUAGAGGUGAAAUUCGUAGAUAUUCGGAAGAACACCAGUGGCGAAGGCGACAUACUGGAUCAUUACUGACGCUGAGGCUCGAAAGCGUGGGGAGCAAACAGGAUUAGAUACCCUGGUAGUCCACGCCGUAAACGAUGAUUGCUAGUUGUUGGGAUGUUUACAUCUCGGUGACGC
rnacentral:rRNA from 1 species